GGCUCAGGAUGAACGCUGGCGGCGUGCUUAACACAUGCAAGUCGAACGAUUGAAGCUGGAGCUUGCUCCGGCCGAUUUAGUGGCGGACGGGUGAGUAACGCGUGGGUAACCUGCCUCAUACAGGGGGAUAGCAGUUGGAAACGACUGGUAAAACCGCAUAAGCGCACGGUGUCGCAUGACACAGUGUGAAAACACUCCGGUGGUAUGAGAUGGACCCGCGUCUGAUUAGCUAGUUGGUGAGGUAACGGCCCACCAAGGCGACGAUCAGUAGCCGGCCUGAGAGGGUGAACGGCCACAUUGGGACUGAGACACGGCCCAAACUCCUACGGGAGGCAGCAGUGGGGAAUAUUGCACAAUGGGGGAAACCCUGAUGCAGCGACGCCGCGUGAGUGAUGAAGUAUUUCGGUAUGUAAAGCUCUAUCAGCAGGGAAGAAAAUGACGGUACCUGACUAAGAAGCACCGGCUAAAUACGUGCCAGCAGCCGCGGUAAUACGUAUGGUGCAAGCGUUAUCCGGAUUUACUGGGUGUAAAGGGAGCGUAGACGGAGUGGCAAGUCUGAUGUGAAAGCCCGGGGCUCAACCCCGGGACGGCUUUUGAAACUGCCCUGCUUGAUUUCAGGAGAGGUAAGCGGAAUUCCUAGUGUAGCGGUGAAAUGCGUAGAUAUCGGGAGGAACACCAGUGGCGAAGGCGACCUACUGGGCACCAACUGACGCUGAGGCUCGAAAGCAUGGGUAGCAAACAGGAUUAGAUACCCUGGUAGUCCAUGCCGUAAACGAUGAUUACAAGGUGUUGGGAGGAUUGUCCCCUUCAGUGCCGCCAGAUAACUCAAUAAGUAAUCCACCUGGGGGGUACGACCGCAAGGUUGAAACUCAAAGGAAUUGACGGGGGCCCGCACAAGCAGUGGAGUAUGUGGUUUAAUUCGAAGCAACGCGAAGAACCUUACCAGGUCUUGCCAUCCGAUGCAUAGCUUAGAGAUAAGUGAAGUCCUUCGGGACAUCGAGACAGGUGGUGCAUGGUUGUCGUCAGCUCGUGUCGUGAGAUGUUGGGUUAAGUCCCGCAACGAGCGCAACCCUUAUUGCCAGUUACUACGCAAGAGGACUCUGGCGAGACUGCCGUUGACAAAACGGAGGAAGGUGGGGAUGACGUCAAAUCAUCAUGCCCUUUAUGACCUGGGCUACACACGUACUACAAUGGCGUUUAACAAAGAGAAGCAAGACCGCGAGGUGGAGCAAAACUCAAAAACAACGUCUCAGUUCAGAUUGCAGGCUGCAACUCGCCUGCAUGAAGUCGGAAUUGCUAGUAAUCGCGGAUCAGCAUGCCGCGGUGAAUACGUUCCCGGGCCUUGCACUCACCGCCCGUCA
rnacentral:rRNA from 1 species